rnacentral:misc_RNA from 1 species
CAUUCAAAAAAUAAAAAAUAAAAAUUGAAUUACAAGGAUCAGGCAUUUUACUGCUAGAAGUGUUUAGGAAUUGUAGUUCAAUAACCACCGUUAUAAUAAAUGACCAUCAAUUAAUGACAAUUGAAGCCAUGACAUAUUGAAAGAACUAUGACCAUAAUCAAGGCAAAAAUGAUGCCCAGGACUAUAAGCUUUAUCUUCAUGUUCUGCAACCACACAACUUUCUUCUUCUGCUCAUCAAUUAGCAAUUAAUCCAAAACCAUUAUGGCUGCCAAAAAUUCAGAGAUGAAGUUUGCUAUCUUCUUCGUUGUUCUUUUGACGACCACUUUAGUUGAUAUGUCUGGAAUUUCGAAAAUGCAAGUGAUGGCUCUUCGAGACAUACCCCCACAAGAAACAUUGCUGAAAAUGAAGCUACUUCCCACAAAUAUUUUGGGACUUUGUAACGAACCUUGCAGCUCAAACUCUGAUUGCAUCGGAAUUACCCUUUGCCAAUUUUGUAAGGAGAAGACGGACCAGUAUGGUUUAACAUACCGUACAUGCAACCUGUUGCCUUGAACAAUAUCAAUGAUCUAUCGAUCGAUCUAUCUAUCUAUUUAUCUGUCUCUGCGCGUAUAGUGUUGUCUGUACCUUUGAUGUGAAGAAUAUGAAUAAAGGGAUACAUAUAUCUAGAUAUAUUCUAGGUAAUGUCCUAUUGUAUUUAAAAUUUGUAGCAAUGAUUGUUUGAAUAAAAAAACAUACCAUGAGUGAAAUAAUUAUUCCACAUUAAUUCACGUAUUUAUUUCACUUAUGAUACGU